GAUGAACGCUGGCGGCGUGCCUAAUACAUGCAAGUCGAGCGAACAGAUGAGGAGCUUGCUCCUCUGACGUUAGCGGCGGACGGGUGAGUAACACGUGGAUAACCUACCUAUAAGACUGGGAUAACUUCGGGAAACCGGAGCUAAUACCGGAUAAUAUAUUGAACCGCAUGGUUCAAUAGUGAAAGACGGUUUUGCUGUCACUUAUAGAUGGAUCCGCGCCGCAUUAGCUAGUUGGUAAGGUAACGGCUUACCAAGGCAACGAGGCGUAGCCGACCUGAGAGGGUGAUCGGCCACACUGGAACUUAGACACGGUCCAGACUCCUACGGGAGGCAGCAGUAGGGAAUCUUCCGCAAUGGGCGAAAGCCUGACGGAGCAACGCCGCGUGAGUGAUGAAGGUCUUCGGAUCGUAAAACUCUGUUAUUAGGGAAGAACAAAUGUGUAAGUAACUAUGCACGUCUUGACGGUACCUAAUCAGAAAGCCACGGCUAACUACGUG
rnacentral:rRNA from 1 species